GUUGGAUGGUUUUAGGCGGGGUAGGGGUAGGCCGAAGAAGUACUGGGGUGAGGUGAUUAGGCGGGACAUGGAACAGUUACAGCUCACCGAGGACAUGACCCUAGAUAGGAAGGUCUGGAAGACGCGAAUUACGGCAGAGGAUUAGGGCCAGUUUGGGUCGCUAGUGUAGGGAAUUACUUGGUGGGGGUUUUAUUCCUGUUAUGAUUCCGUGUUCCGUGUUCUAUGUUUUAUUACGAAUCUGUGUGCUUUCCUCUGCUUUCCUCUGUUUUAUAUUACUUAUGGGUGCCGUAUUUAUGUUAUGUAAUCUGCUUCUGUGCUUGACUAUGUGUUUGUGUGGUAUCUCGUGCCUUGAGCCGGGGGUCUAUCGGAAACAGCCUUUCUACUUCAUCAGAGGUAGAGGUGUGGAUUGCGUACAUCUUACCCCCCC
rnacentral:lncRNA from 1 species